rfam:Myotis davidii contig226159, whole genome shotgun sequence.
GGCAGUUCUUGGGUUACGCACCCUGGAAUCGGGCUCCCUCCUCUCAGGUGGGUCACCUGAGAACUGUC